UGCUCUCACAAAUGUAAGUCGCUUUAGAUAAAAGCAUCUGCUAAAUGAAUAAAU
rfam:Danio rerio chromosome 7 genomic contig CTG751, GRCz11 reference primary assembly.